GACGAACGCUGGCGGCGUGCCUAAUACAUGCAAGUCGAACGCUUCUUUCCUCCCGAGUGCUUGCCCUCAAUUGGAAAGAGGAGUGGCGGACGGGUGAGUAACACGUGGGUAACCUACCCAUCAGAGGGGGAUAACACUUGGAAACAGGUGCUAAUACCGCAUAACAGUUUAUGCCGCAUGGCAUAAGAGUGAAAGGCGCUUUCGGGUGUCGCUGAUGGAUGGACCCGCGGUGCAUUAGCUAGUUGGUGAGGUAACGGCUCACCAAGGCCACGAUGCAUAGCCGACCUGAGAGGGUGAUCGGCCACACUGGGACUGAGACACGGCCCAGACUCCUACGGGAGGCAGCAGUAGGGAAUCUUCGGCAAUGGACGAAAGUCUGACCGAGCAACGCCGCGUGAGUGAAGAAGGUUUUCGGAUCGUAAAACUCUGUUGUUAGAGAAGAACAAGGACGUUAGUAACUGAACGUCCCCUGACGGUAUCUAACCAGAAAGCCACGGCUAACUACGU
rnacentral:rRNA from 1 species